ensembl:lncRNA
AUGUACGAGGGCAUGGUGGUUAACUCCGGGCGAAGAGAUUUUGAUGAAGACGACAACGACGACGACGACGGCGACCGAGACCUGGACGAGAACGCAAGCGACAUAAACUCGCCGGCGGCGCGUCGGGAAACUGCAGCGCCAGACGAAGAGGCAGUGACACCAGACGUCCCGUGCAAGAAGAAAGGGCGACCGAAGAAGAAGAAGGACACAAAGAAGAAAGACAAAGACGGGAAACCGGUCAAAGCGAGAAAACGCAAGAAGAUUGCCAGCGAUGUAGAGAGAGACUCGGACAGAGAAAGAGACUACGGCGAGAACUCGGACAGCGCGCCCAGCGACUAUGGGUCCGGAGAGAAGAAGAAGAAGAAGAAGCAUAAAGAAAGGAAGGAGAAGAAAACCAAGAAGAAGAAAAAAGUCGACGGGGACCGAGACAGCAGCCAGGAGGAGACGGUCAAGCCGAUAGAGCAGAAGACGUCGGCGCAGCUGGCGAAGGAUUGGGGUCUGGAGGAUGUUGAUCAUACCUUCACGGAGGAAGACUACAGGGAACUCACCAACUACAAAGCCUUCAGCCAGUUCACGAGGUGCCAAAAACAUGGGUUGAAUUAAGGGUGAUUGGUAAUUGGUUGAUUAGGAUCAGAAAACUUGGCAAUUUAUGGAAAAGGGGAGUUGCAUUUCCAAUUCUGUACACACAUUUACUAUGUAC